GGAUCUUUAGCUCAGUUGGUUAGAGCAUCCGGCUCAUAACCGGACGGCCUGGGGUUCGAGUCCCUAAAGGUCCACCA
rnacentral:tRNA from 1 species